AACUCGCCUACAUGAAGCCGGAAUCGCUAGUAAUCGUGGAUCAGCAUGCCACGGUGAAUACGUUCCCGGGCCUUGUACACACCGCCCGUCACACCACGAGAGUUUGUAACACCCGAAGUCGGUAGGGUAACCUUUAUGGAGCCAGCCGCCGAAGGUGGGACAGAUAAUUGGGGUGAAGUCGUAACAAGGUAGCCGUAUCGGAAGGUGCGGCUGGAUCACCUCCUUUCUAAGGAA
rnacentral:rRNA from 1 species